AUUGAACGCUGGCGGCAUGCCUUACACAUGCAAGUCGAACGGCAGCACGGGAGCAAUCCUGGUGGCGAGUGGCGAACGGUGAGUAAUAUAUCGGAACGUGCCCAGUCGUGGGGGAUAACGUAGCGAAAGCUACGCUAAUACCGCAUACGAUCUAUGGAUGAAAGCGGGGGAUCGCAAGACCUCGCGCGAUUGGAGCGGCCGAUAUCAGAUUAGGUAGUUGGUGAGGUAAAGGCUCACCAAGCCGACGAUCUGUAGCUGGUCUGAGAGGACGACCAGCCACACUGGGACUGAGACACGGCCCAGACUCCUACGGGAGGCAGCAGUGGGGAAUUUUGGACAAUGGACGCAAGUCUGAUCCAGCCAUUCCGCGUGCAGGAUGAAGGCCCUCGGGUUGUAAACUGCUUUGUACGGAACGAAAAGGUUUGUCUUAAUACGAUGAGCUCAUGACGGUACCGUAAGAAUAAGCACCGGCUAACUACGUG
rnacentral:rRNA from 1 species